rnacentral:tRNA from 1 species
AUUUAUUUAGCUUAAAUAUAAAGCAUUAUAGUGAAAAUAUAAAUAUAAUUUUUAAUUAAUAAAUA